rnacentral:rRNA from 1 species
CAGCAGCCACGGUAAUACGUAGGGUGCGAGCGUUAAUCGGAAUUACUGGGCGUAAAGCGUGCGCAGGCGGUUUUGUAAGACAGGCGUGAAAUCCCCGGGCUCAACCUGGGAAUGGCGCUUGUGACUGCAAAGCUAGAGUGCGGCAGAGGGGGAUGGAAUUCCGCGUGUAGCAGUGAAAUGCGUAGAUAUGCGGAGGAACACCGAUGGCGAAGGCAAUCCCCUGGGCCUGCACUGACGCUCAUGCACGAAAGCGUGGGGAGCAAACAGGAUUAGAUACCCGCGUAGUCCCUGUCUCUUAUAC